GUCCUCUUUCACAAAAAAUUAAAAGUUUGUGUUAAUCAUGACCCAAAUUGGUCUAGACCCAAAGCAACAUUCAUGCACCCUUGAAGACUCAAUCAUUAAUAAAUCAAGUCUGAAUUGGGUUCAAGCCCAAAGAAAUCAACUAAAAGGUUUUGGGCUGGAUCAAAUGAUCCAUAGGCCCAACCAUCAGCCCUAGGUGCCCAAGCUUCCAAAGGCCCAUGUGCGCAAGAGAUUUCAACCCCCAACAAAUCCUAGAAUUCUGCCACCAACAAGCCUAGCGCCCUUUUCCUUUAUGCCUCAACUCUAGCAUGCCUCCUUUUCUUCCGCACUAUCCCGUGCUCCCUUUCUCUCCUAAGCCUCACCCCCUUUCUUUUCUAAGUAGUGCCCCUUGCUUUUUAUAUCAAACCAUCCCUCUUCACAUCAUGCCUCCAUCAUUAGUCCUAUCUCAACCCUCCAUCAUUUAGGUGCCUUCCGCAUCUUCUUAAAAACCCGAGCCACCCCAUCCUUGCUUCCAUUAAUCCUACAUUACCAAAAUAACUAAUCCUCAUGCCCCCUCGCAUCUAUAAAUAAGCCCCUGCACCUCAACCAAGGUAGUAUCUCUCUCCACACCCCAUAAGGCUGAUGCCUCAAUCCUAGCCGCCCUCCAUCUCCAUGCCAAAGCCCUAUGAGCUGCUGUCCUAUCCUCUUAUCCCCC
rnacentral:lncRNA from 1 species